rnacentral:ncRNA from 1 species
GCGUGUGACUGGCGGAUCGUGGAUUAACCACAGGGAGCACGCAGAGGAAAUGAUGAGAAGCGCGCGCCGCGGGUUUUCCAUUGAAUAAGAGCCGACCGCCUGGGCAC